rnacentral:rRNA from 1 species
UACACAUGCAAGUCGAGUGCGCGUCUGUACCAAUACAGAUGGCGCACGGCGCACGGGUGCGUAACACGUGGGUAAUCUGCCCUUCGAAGGGGAAUAACUCGCCGAAAGGCGAGCUAAUUCCGCAUAACAUUCCGAGAACCUU